GAUCUCGUGUGUUUACGAGACAGAGAAGCGAGGGGAAGCGAGAAAGGAGAAGACGCGGUUGAAGCUUCACGACCACACUACUUUUGGUCACCUCUCGGUCGUGAUUUUCUCAGAUGGAGGAGAGAUGGAGUUCUCCACCAGCAGGUCCAGCACCGCCAGUCUAUCUCUCUAGGACACAGCUGAAUUUGAAAUAGGAGUUUCUGUGAUUCGAUCCUUGUAUCUGCGAAAUCAAUGUUUAAACUCUCCAAUUCCUCCAGUGAGGAGGUGGCUUGAAGUAAAGCAGACAGUUUCCAGUUGUGGAAAGAGGAUGGGAUGAGUUAUCUCGAGGCAAAGCAUCUGUAACUUGUACUAGGUAAUAUAUGACAAAACAACUGACUGAAAAUGAAGUUUCUUCUUAGCGAAGAAGAUCAAAAUCGCAUACGUUUUCUGUAUCGAGGGUGACUGCAUGGCUGAAGCAUCGAGGGUGGAGGAGGACAUUAAUUGGUGGCGAGUUUGAAGUGUCGAUGCUGGAAGUGUUGUGUUGGGCGUUGGAUUCACCUCCUACGGCUUGAGGUUGAAAGAAGAGAUCAGAGAAAUCCAGCCAGGAGGCGGCUUGAAGCUUGAAGAAUUAGCUAGUUUAAAACUAGGCUAAUGAACUUAUGAACUAUCUCUUAUGUGUUUGGAAUUCAGAUUAUUAUUUUUUACUUGUUGACUUAUGUAUUAGCUACAUCUUUUAUGAAUGAUUUAGUUGUUUUUAAUGA